GACGAACGCUGGCGGCGUGCUUAACACAUGCAAGUCGAACGAAGUGGCGAACGGGUGAGUAACACGUGGGUAACUGCCAUCCUUUUUGGGAUAACAGUUGGAAACGGAUGCUACUACCGGAUAGUGGGGGAUGACUCGCGUACUAUCAGCUUGUUGGUGGGGUAGUGGCCUACCAAGGCGACGACGGGUAGCCGGCCUGAGAGGGCGACCGGCCACAUUGGGCUGAGAUACUGCCCAAACUCUUACGGGAGGCAGCAGUGGGGAAUAUUGCACAAUGGGGGAAACCCUGAUGCAGCAACGCGCGUGCGGGAUGACGGCCUACGGGUUGUAAACCGCUUUCAGCCAUGACGCGGUAGUGGCAGAAGAAGCACCGGCUAACUACGUGCCAGCCGCCGCGGUAAUUC
rnacentral:rRNA from 1 species